GGCUAGAAUGAAACAGUAGCUGUUCCAACUUUUGCCACAUUGGCUCAUCAAGCAUUUUUUUUUCAUAGCCUCUCUAUUCCUUUCAAGCCCUCGAUAGCCCCCACCUGCUCACUGCCUGUCCACCAGGAGGGAUGGAGAGAUUGUCUCGUCUAGGCCAUGAACCCUAAACCUGUGUCCUAAAACCUUGGAACAUGGACAUAGGCCUGGGAUGGCUGAAUGAAUGAGUGGCCCAGCUGCUCUCCACACUACAAGGCUGCCGUAUGUUACAAGAGCCACAGUUUUCAUUGUGGUGAUCUUCCCCGUCUAACUGACGGACCAGACCCAUUUUCAGUAGUGCUAACAGCUGAGCUGUACCUUCUACAUGGCUGUCUCCUGGUGAAAAUGGCAAUCUCUCCACGCUCACAUCCUGUUCCCAGGCAUUAUCCCAGUUUUUUGCCUGCUUCUUGACUGAGGUUUGCAUAGGCUCGUUGAGGGUGAGUACGUCCAACUGGGCCCCUCUCUUCCCUAGUAUACAGUGGACACCUGAGCACACCCCGGAGAGCUGCUCUCAUCAGCCCAUAUUCUUUAAUCGUCUUCUUCAAUUUGGUUUGACACUGCUGUCUUUCAAAGUCCUUUCAACACUCAGGAUGCUUCCUUGGGGCCUAAUGAGUUUUAGAGUUUAGGGAAGCAAAGAAGAUUCGAUGGGCCUCCAGAAACACUUGUUCCCUUUGGUGCUGAACAGAGUGGAUGGGAGGGUGGGUCUGUUCUGACACACGGCAGGGGACUCCAUAGCCACUCUGCUUCUCUCUCUAGAGUUCAAGUGUUCUGAAGGGACCCUUCUCCAGGACAAUACCAUGCCUCUUUCAGGCAUCUUCCCCCUGCUCGGCUGUGGUGGGAACUAAUGAGCUUCCGAAGGGCUCUCACAGAUCCACGUGGCAUGGCUUCAUUAGGGUCUGCUGCCCUGGGAAGCUAACUGUGCACAUGGUGAAUGAAGGAAGGAGGAGACAUCUGAGCAGGCACACCUGGGGCCAGAAAGAUAAGGCUCCAAAGAUGGCUGAGCUAGCAUCUUCACGUUCAUCUGCUUGGAGAGGUGAUUUGGGAAACUGUCUUCAGAGCUUGGUAGCCUCUGGAGGUCUCCCCGGAACACCUGGCUACAUCACCAGAAAAACUGAGGCCCAGAGAGUGCAAGAGUGCUCUGGCUGAGGCUGGCUGGGCCAGCGCCUCUGCGCACCUGCAGGGAAGUCAUAGACGGAAGCCAAGGCUUUCAGCACUUCCUCCUUUGUUCCCUGGAGUACCGUUCUGGAGCAGUGUCUGGGCAUACCUGCUGCUCUGUGCAGACUUUGAUUUCACAAGAUUGAUUCUUCCUCUCUUGUAGCCUAAGGAGAUUUAGAAAUAACGUAUAUCCUUGGAAACAAAGCUUUGGGGAUCACAUUAGUUAGGAAAACUAGGUUUUACAAAUGGAAUGGACCUCUCUGCUGAAGGACCUGAGGAGUAUUAGCUGAGCCAAGCUAUUCUCCAAGGGGCCUUCUGUGUGCCUGGCCCACCACAGGCACCAGAGCGAUGAGAAUCCUUUGGGUAGAAUGUUAUCUGUCUUCCACGGUAAGGAAACAAGUGUUGGGGGGCAGGGUUGGUCCCUGGGUGUCUUGCAUAAGGCCUUCCUCUCAUUUUGGGGUGAACGCCUGUGCUAUGGGUAUUGUUCUUGGCCAGAGUAGGCUCUAUAUUUCCGGGGACACAUGCGGGUAUGAAGGCAGAUAGUGUCAAGCCAGGCAAAAGUGAAGUUAGCUGGCACUGGCCACUGAGCUUGCUCCUGAGUUAAGGGUGCCUAGAGUACAAUGAGGAGGACUCAGAGCUGUCUGCCCUAUAUCGUGUGCCUCCAUCUAUUGUGUGGGAGAUUGGAGAGCUGAACACUUUAGGCCCGGGCAAAGAGGACAUAUAGUGGGUCCCACUCUCUGCCUUGCAUAUGGCUUCCACAUGUCUUCCUUGGUUCACUGACUGUUGUCUCACAGUGACAUCACGGCUUCCUGGAACAGAUAGUUGGGAAACUGACACUACCAUUCCUAUCCUGGGCAGGAAGUUUUAGCCCUAGAACAUUCCUAAGAAGGGCCUUUGGAUUCUGGAAGUCACAUGACUUCUUGAGAAACUGAGUUAGAAAGCAAGCUGGGCUUUUCUGAAAAUGUCGUCUUAUGCCUUGGCAAUGAGGCUGAGCAGGCCUCUGAAAUGGCUCUUGUCAUCUGGGACUUCCCUAUGGGCAGAUAACUGACUGGUAUGGAGAACCUGGAACAGGAGUCUAGGAGAUGCUCCGGGGUGCUGGCUGGGAAGUUGUGCAACUUCAUUGCUUCACCAUUCAGCAAAUUCCUUGCUUCCUUCCACGGCCAGCAGAGCACUGUCAGCCCGAGUUCCUGCGGGGAUAAUGCUGAUUCUCCAUACAGGGCUGUCCUCUGCUGAGCAGAGCUGAGUAUCCGAUAGCUGAUGUGAAAAUGUGUGCUCUCAUCUGCUCUCCAGGAAGGUUCCUCUUGUGCUUGGGGACAUCUGGGUUUUCUUGGAAGGUAAAGCAUGGCCAUCUUUAGAUUGGAGCUGAGACAGGGUCCACUAGAGGGUCCCUCAUAUUCCAGGCCCUGUGUUAGGGCUGGGAGUCAGGCAGAGGCUGGAAGGGCUGGGCAGGACUGAAGGGAACAGAGCCUUGCAAGGAUAAGGACCAGGUAUUUGUCAUUUUUUGUUGUUAUGGCAAACUACCCGGAAGACACUUUGGCUUCUGUUAAGAAGGGUUAUGGUCCAUCCCGCAGGAAGGCAUGGCUACAGGGGUGUGGUGCAGCUGGCUCACGGCAUCCCUGGUCAGGAAGCAGAGAGUGAUGAGCACCGGUGCUCAGCUUGCUUUCUCUUUCUGCUACUCCCUGAUUCUAGCCCCGGGAUAGUACUGCUCAUGUUCAGGGUGGGUCCUCCCCCUUCAGUUAAAGAAAUACCUUUCUAGAGGUAUCCUCGCAGACACAUCUAGAGGUGUGUCUCCAUGGUGAUUCUAAAUAUAGUCAAGUUGAUGGUUAAGAUCAAUGACAGUGCUACAGUGUCAAAUUCCAGGCAUCAGAUUGUUGUGCAGGAACUCAAGGUUGGUUCUUACACUUAAACCCAUCUGGGUCAGGUUCACAGUUGGAGGACUGGCCCGGCAGAUCUAAGCAUCAGUCUUCGGACAUCGCAAGGACUGGGGAAGACAUAUUUAAGGGACAUCAGAGUGAGAGGUGAAUAUGAUCCCGUUGGCUGAUGAGGAGACCACUAUUGGGAAAGAAGAGGAGGACUGAGGAAGAAGAGUUGAGCCAGGAUUAGGUGAAUUGUAGAAAUCCUAGAUUGGCUGAAGACAUGGAAGGGUCUGGUCAGCGUUAUCGAUCGAUCUUACCUUGGAAGAGGGUUACUCACCUACAGAGGGAGCCUACGGGAGGGUCCAAAGCCAAGUUAAAUCUGGGACUCUCCAUUGCUGGGCCACAUAGAUUGAAUGAGAUGGUAGAUUUGAUCCAGGGCAGCCAGUCAGAUCUCUCUCAAGGGAUCUGGGAUUGGUAACUUGGAGGAAGGCACUGGAACGGAGGCAGUCAGGUCUGAAUGUCUGAGCAAAGAGAUUGGUAGGAGAGGGGAGAUGAGAGAGCCUGAAGGCAGAGGGAAGCGGUGUUAGGGAGACCUAGGGCUGGGGAGGGGAAUUGGCAGCUCAGGCUGCUAGCAUCUGCUCCCCCUUCCAAAACCUGCUCUUUCUUCUAUACUUCUUCAUUUCAGUCCCAUGCCUCUGUUAAAAGCCCUCCUUGGUCCCUCUCUCCCCCAUCCCCCAUGUAAACAUAUGAAUGUAGAGGUCAGAGGUCAGCCUUUGGUGUCAUUCCUGAAGAUUCCUGCCCACUUUGUUUCUGAGGCAGGGCCUCUCUUUAGUCCAUUAUGUCAAAGUGGCUGGACAGCCAGCUCCAGAGUUCUACCCGCCUCUGCCUCCCCAGCGCUGAGGUUAUAAACAUGCACUUCCAGGCCUGACUUUUUUAUUUGCGUUCUGGGGACGUAACUCGGGUCCAUAUGCCAGAAAAGCAAGUACUUUACUGCUUGUGCAUCUCCCCAGCCCCCCAAAGGCCUCCUUUGCGAGCUUGUUAGAGGCAGACUGGGCCUCCAAUACAAUCCUUUCUGACAGUUUCCUGACAGCCAGCGGGCUCAAGCCGGGGAGGCUGGCUGUUGAUAAUUGUUAGUGCCCAGCAGCUGUUGGAAAAUGAGUGAAAAGCCCCUGCUGGCAGGCAGUCAGGGGAGUGGCAGGCAGUACAAGGUGGCCUGGAAUUUAUGGAAACAUUUUAAAAAUAUUUGCAGAUAUAGACCCACAAACCUGAUUGUGAAUCUUCAGCAGCUUUUGGUAGGCUCUGGCUUGACUAUUCUUUCUUCAUGGGUCCUGUUUCUCACCCCAUUUGUGUGCUCAUAUUUAGCCAAUCUGGGCCCAACUGGGUCCAGCUAGCAACAUAAAAAUCUGGGCUUCGGAAUUUUCCAUAUUAGAGUACAAUGGAGGAGGAGGAGACAGGAAGACUCACUGGAGAUGGGUCUCCAGAUCCCCCAUUACCUAAGGCUUUUGCCUGGUGCAGGGACCUUGCUUGAGCCAGCAUCAGUGAUUGCAGGCUUAGACCUAGAUUUUGGUUGGGGAUAGAAGUUGAUUCUGGCAUCAGUUUCUGGCCUCCAGGUAGGGUGACUUGUAUCACUUUGGAGGCUUGCUGCUCUGGAAAUGCGAGAGUUGGUGUGCUGAAUUGUUUUAAAUCAACUUGACCCAAGCUAAAGUCUUCUGAGAGGAGGGAGCCUCAAUUGAGAAAAUGCCUCCAAAAGAUCAGGCCACAGGCAGGACUGUAGAGCAUUUUCUUAGUGAUUGAUGGAGGAGGGCUCAGUUCACUGUGGGUGAUGCCACCUUGGCUGGUAGUCCUGCAUGCUAUAAGAAAGCAGGCUGCACAAGCCAUGGGGAGCACACUGGUACACAGCACCUCUCUGUGGCUUCUGCAUCAGUUCCUGCCUCCGGGUUUCUGCCCUGCUUGAGUUCUUGCUCUGACUUCCCUCAGCGAUGAGCUGUUCCCUGGAAAUCUAAGUGAAAUAAAACCUUUCUUCCUCAAGUUGCUUUUGGUCAUGGUGUUUCAUCCCAGCAAUAGAAACCAUGACUAAGACAGAUGCUGACACUCCACAGGGGCCCAGACCUGCCCUGCAAACUCCGGCUCUUGCUUGGCAUCCCAAGACCUUUGUGUUCAUUCACCCUGUUUAAAGUUAUUAAUCCUCAGUUGCUAAUAAAGUACCCACUGUUU